GGGUCAGUAGGUUGGUCGUGCCACCGGUACGUACUGGUCUCACUGAUUCUUCCUUCCUGAGGAACCGUAAUGCCAUUAAUUUGGUGUUGCGGGGAAACAGGACUGUUACUUUGAAAAAAUUAGAGUGUUUAAAGCAAGCUAACGCUUGAAUACAUUAGCAUGGAAUAAUGAAAUAGGACGAUCGAUCCUAUUUUGUUGGUUUCUAGGAUUGACGUA
rnacentral:rRNA from 1 species